CAGCUUUUCAUCAAGACAAUCAUUUCAUAAAUAUAUAUGAUGCUAUUUCUACACCAAUCACUCUUCGUUUUCCUCUUUACAUGUAUGUAUUUUUCUCUAAAAAAAUGAUUUAACAUGAUGUAGAGCUCAGUAGAUGUCCUACUUACCUGUUUUUUUUUUCCUAGAUGGAUAUGAAUGUUUCACAAUUAAUCAGUCCCCUGAUUCUAUUACUAAAUUUGUUCCUGUACAGUCUACACUAUAUACAGCAACAUUGAAAUGUACGCCUUCCAGUUCUCCCGGUGGCAAUUAUAUUCACUGGUAUAUACAGAAACCAAACAAAG